CGACCUCAGAUCAGACGAGACUACCCGCUGAAUUUAAGCAUAUCACUAAGCGGAGGAAAAGAAACUAACAAGGAUUCCCCCAGUAACGGCGAGUGAAGUGGGAAUAGCCCAGCACCGAAUCCCUCAGCCUUGCGCUGCCGGGAACUGUGGUGUUUGGGACGACCGCUGUCGUGCAGUUCGGGGUGCCCAAGUCCUCCCGAUCGGGGCCUCUCCCAAAGGUGGGGUGUCAGGGCCUUUACCGGCACUCGUCUACACGGCUAUGGUCGUCCUCGGAGUCGGGUUGUUUGGGAAUGCAGCCCAAGCUGGUGGUAAACUCCAUCUAAGGCUAAAUACUGACACGAGUCCGAUAGCGGACAAGUACCGUGAGGGAAAGUUGAAAAGAACUUGAAGAGAGAGUUCAAGAGUACGUGAAACCGCUUAGAGGCAAACGGGUGGAUCCGUAAAGUCGACCAGGGAAUUCAUCUUGCUGUCGGCGACGGGCGUUCUUAGAGAUCCUUAACCGGACUCUGCUGGCGUCCGAUUGCUGCCGGCGAGUGCACUUUCCCCCGGUCGAGCCGCCAACGACCGGUUUCCUGGCGGUCAUAAGCUCUGCGAGAAGGUAGCUCGUCACUCUCGGGUGUCGAGUGUUUAGAUCGCAGUAGUCGUCUUGCCGGGAGACUGAGGGUCUCCAGCGCCAACCAGCCUGUGCUCGUGUGCUUUCGUUCAAAUGGGGUCCACUGCUUGCAGUGUUCACCGACCGCGAUUGUAUAUCGGGUGCUCAGCUAGGGGCGCGCUGGGUCAGUGGCGAUUCGGUCGGCAUUCCACCCGACCCGUCUUUGAAACCGGACCAAGGAGUCUACAUGUGCGCGAGUCAUGGGGGUAUUACGAAACCUAAAGGCGCAAUGAAAGUGAAGGCAGCCUCCGGUUGCAUAGGUAGGAUCCUCCCUGUAACGGGAGGCGCACUACCGGCCCGUCUCGUCCGCAUCGUCGGAGAGGCGGAGCAAGAGCGUACACGUUGGGACCCGAAAGAUGGUGAACUAUGCCUGAGUAGGACGAAGCCAGGAGGAAACUCUGGUGGAGGUCCGUAGCGAUUCUGACGUGCAAAUCGAUCGUCAAACUUGGGUAUAGGGGCGAAAGACUAAUCGAACCAUCUAGUAGCUGGUUCCCUCCGAAGUUUCCCUCAGGAUAGCUGGCACUCAUUCGCAGUUUUAUCCGUAAAGCGAAUGAUUAGAGGCAUUGGGGACGAAACGACCUCACCUAUUCUCAAACUUUAAAUGGGUAAGAAGUCCGACUCGCUUAAUUGGGUCGGGCGUUCGAAUGCGAGGGCCAAGUGGGGCACUUUUGGGAAGGAGAACUGGCGCUGUGGGAUGAACCAAACGUCCGGUUAAGGUGCCAAACGCUGACGCUCAUCAGAUACCAUAAAAGGUGUUGGUUGAUACAGACAGCAGGACGGUUGCCAGGGAAGUUCGGAAACGCUAAGGAGUCGUGUAACAACUCACCUGCCGAAUCAAAAGUAGCCGAAAUGGAUGGCGCUAGAGCGUCGGACUAUACCGGACCGUCGCCCCGCCCAAUACCGAGCACCCCGGGAGCCAGCGGGCGCGACGAGUAGGAGGGCCGCCGUGGUGCGCACAAGCUUGGAGCGUGAGCCCGGGGGAGCCAGCCAACGGGGGGCAGAUCUUGGUGGUAGUAGUAGCCAAAUAACAUUCAAACGAGAACUUUGAGACUGAAGUGGAGACGGGUUCCAGGUGAACAGCAGUUGGCACAUGGGUCAGUCGGCCCUAAGAGAUAGGUAAAACACCGUUCGGAAAGGGGGCAAUACCGACUCUCGAAACAAACAAAACAAGAGUGUGCCCGUCUUCUAUCGAAAAAGGGAAUUCGGGUUAAUAUUCCCGAACCGGCAUCGAGUUCUGGUCCUCAAGGGGCCAUGGCGGCAACGCAAACGACUCGGAGACGUCGGCGGAAGUCCCGGGAAGAGUUCUCUUUCUUUGUAAGGGACAACUCCCUGAAUCGGCGUGCCCGGAGAUAGGACGUGUUCCCGUUACAAGCACUGCGGUCUUGCAGUGUCCGGUUUGUUGUGCACUUUCCGUCGGCCCUUGAAAUAAGAGGGAGACAUUUGACUUUCGUGCCGGCCCGUACCCAUAUUCGCAGCAGGUCUCAAGGUGCAACAGCCUCUAGUCGAUCAUUUAGAAACAAUGUAGGUAAGGGAGUCGGCAAUUAGUCCGUAACUUCGGGAAAAGGAUUGGCUCUAAGGGCUGGGCAGGUCCGGGCUGGAGUACGAACGGUUGGGACGGGACGGGCUGCGCGAAGGCCCACGUAGAGCUCGGACCGCGUCUUAACCAUCCCGUGGAAUGCCUCAAGCUUGCGGGCUUUCGGUUUGUUGGGCUGUCGUUCCGGCAUUACUAACGAUACACCAACGAACUGAAUAUGGUUACGGGGACAGGGAGGGAAUCGACUGUCUAAUUAAAAAACAAAAGCAUUGCGAUGCCCGUAACCUGGUGUUGACGCAAUGUGAUUUCUGCCCAGUGCUUGAAUGUCAAGUGAAGAAAUUCAAUAAAGCGCGGGUGUCAACGGCGGAGUAAACUAUGACUCUCUUAAGGUAAACAGGGGCCAAAUGCAUCGUAUCUAAUUAGUGACGCGCAUGAAAUGGAUAACGAGAUUCCCACUGUCCCUAUCUAUAUCUAGCGACACCACAGCCAAGGGGAACGGGCCUUGGAAAAACAUCAGGGGGAGAAAGAAGGACUGUUGAUAGCUUGACUCUAGUCCGACUUUUGUGAAGAGACUGAGGGGGUAGCAUAGGGGGAGUGCAAACGAAAUUGAAAUUCCCACUACUUUUAUCGUUUCUUUACUAUUCAGGAAAGCGGAGAGCGGGGCGCAAAGCUCCUCGAUUCUGGAAUUAGUCACCGGCCUACGUGGCGGUGUGAUCCUAUCUGAAGACAGUGUCAGGCGGGGGAGUUUUGACUGGCCGGUACAUCUCGUACAUCUGUCAAAAGGUACGAGGUGUCCUAAGGUGAGCUCAGCGAGGACGGAAACCCUCGAGUAGGUAAAAGGGCAAAAGCUCACGUGAUUUUGAGUUUCAGUACGAAUACAGACCGUGAAAGCGUGGCCUAUCGAUCCUUUUGAUUUAAAGAGUUUUAAGCAAGACGGUGUCAGAAAAGUUCACCACAGGGAUAAAUGCUUGUGGCAGCAAGCGUUCAUAGCGACGUUGCUUUGAUCUUCGAUGUCGGCUCUCCUAAUCAUUGUGAAGCAGAAAAUCACCAAGCGUUGGCGUGUCAACCACUUAAUAGGGAAAAGUGAGCUGGGUUUAGACGUCGUGAGGGGACAGGUUAGUUUUACCAUAUGAUGGAGCAGUCGUUUGCAAUGGUAAUCCUGCUCAGGACGAGAGGAACCGCAGGUUCAGACAUUUGGUUGAUGUGCUUGGCUGAUAAGCAAUGGGGCGAGCUACCAUUCGAGGAUUAUGACUGAAAGCCACUCUAAGUCAGAAUCUCGCCAAAUCUGUAAACGAUACUUCUGCAUCUCUGCGUUGGGAGGAACGAUAAGCGCGGACGGACCAGCUCGGCGUCCCGCGAUGGUAAAUUUGCCACAGCAAAAACGGUCAUUGGUACGUAUGAAUUCAGCGUGCUGACCGAACGAUAUCGAUCCAUCACUGAAAGGUGUAAAAUCAUUCGUAGACGACCUAGUUCUCGGUCGGGGUAUCGUACUUAGUAGAGCAGCCACCUCACUGCGAUCUCUUGAAAUUAAUCCUUAUGACUACAAGAUUUGU